ACCCGCUGAACUUAAGCAUAUCAAUAAGCGGAGGAAAAGAAACCAACAGGGAUUGCCCUAGUAACGGCGAGUGAAGCGGCAACAGCUCAAAUUUGAAAUCUGGCUCUUUUAGAGUCCGAGUUGUAAUUUGCAGAGGGCGCUUUGGCUUUGGCAGCGGUCCAAGUUCCUUGGAACAGGACGUCACAGAGGGUGAGAAUCCCGUACGUGGUCGCUGGCUAUUGCCGUGUAAAGCCCCUUCGACGAGUCGAGUUGUUUGGGAAUGCAGCUCUAAAUGGGAGGUACGUUUCUUCUAAAGCUAAAUAUUGGCCAGAGACCGAUAGCGCACAAGUAGAGUGAUCGAAAGAUGAAAAGCACUUUGGAAAGAGAGUCAAACAGCACGUGAAAUUGUUGAAAGGGAAGCGCUUGCAGCCAGACUUGCUUACAGUUGCUCAUCCGGGCUUUUGCCCGGUGCACUCUUCUGUAGGCAGGCCAGCAUCAGUUUGGGCGGUAGGAUAAAGGUCUCUGUCACGUACCUCUCUUCGGGGAGGCCUUAUAGGGGAGACGACAUACUACCAGCCUGGACUGAGGUCCGCGCAUCUGCUAGGAUGCUGGCGUAAUGGCUGU
rnacentral:rRNA from 1 species